UACAGAGGUCUCAAGCGUUGUUCGGAUUCAUUGGGCGUAAAGGGUGCGUAGGCGGCGCGGUAAGUCAGGUGUGAAAUCUCGGAGCUUAACUCCGAAACUGCAUUCGAUACUGCCGUGCUUGAGGACUGGAGAGGAGACUGGAAUUUACGGUGUAGCGGUGAAAUGCGUAGAUAUCGUAAGGAAGACCAGUGGCGAAGGCGGUUCUCUGGGCCUUACCUGACACUGAGGAGCGAAAGCGUGGGGAGCGAACAGG
rnacentral:rRNA from 1 species